rnacentral:rRNA from 1 species
UAGGGAAUCUUCCGCAAUGGACGCAAGUCUGACGGAGCAACGCCGCGUGAGUGAAGAAGGAUUUCGGUUCGUAAAACUCUGUUGUUAGAGAAGAACAGCGCAUAGAGUAACUGUUAUGCGUGUGACGGUAUCUAACCAGAAAGCCACGGCUAACUACGUGCCAGCAGCCGCGGUAAUACGUAGGUCCCGAGCGUUGUCCGGAUUUAUUGGGCGUAAAGCGAGCGCAGGCGGUUAGAUAAGUCUAAAGUUAAAGGCAGUGGCUCAACCAUUGUAGGCUUUGGAAACUGUUUAACUUGAGUGCAGAAGGGGAGAGUGGAAUUCCAUGUGUAGCGGUGAAAUGCGUAGAUAUAUGGAGGAACACCGGUGGCGAAAGCGGCUCUCUGGUCUGUAACUGACGCUGAGGCUCGAAAGCGUGGGGAGCGAACAGG